rnacentral:rRNA from 1 species
AUUGAACGCUGGCGGCAGGCUUAACACAUGCAAGUCGAACGAGUGGCGGACGGGUGAGUAAUGUCUGGGAAACUGCCCGAUGGAGGGGGAUAACUACUGGAAACGGUAGCUAAUACCGCAUACCCUCGGAUGUGCCCAGGUGGGAUUAGCUAGUUGGUGGGGUAACGGCUCACCUCGGCGACGAUCCCUAGCUGGUCUGAGAGGAUGACCAGCCACACUGGAACUGAGACACGGUGCAGACUCCUACGGGAGGAAGCGGUGGGGAAUAGUGCACAAUGGGCGCAAGCCUGAUGCAGCCAUGCCGCGUGUAUGAAGAAGGCCUUCGGGUUGUAAAGUACUUUCAGCGGGGAGGCGUUACCCGCAGAAGAAGCACCGGCUAACUACGUGCCAGCAGCCGCGGUAAUAC